rnacentral:rRNA from 1 species
UGGGGAAUUUUGGACAAUGGGCGAAAGCCUGAUCCAGCAAUGCCGCGUGUGUGAAGAAGGCCUUCGGGUUGUAAAGCACUUUUGUCCGGAAAGAAAUCCUUGGCUCUAAUACAGUCGGGGGAUGACGGUACCGGAAGAAUAAGCACCGGCUAACUACGUGCCAGCAGCCGCGGUAAUACGUAGGGUGCAAGCGUUAAUCGGAAUUACUGGGCGUAAAGCGUGCGCAGGCGGUUUGCUAAGACCGAUGUGAAAUCCCCGGGCUCAACCUGGGAACUGCAUUGGUGACUGGCAGGCUAGAGUAUGGCAGAGGGGGGUAGAAUUCCACGUGUAGCAGUGAAAUGCGUAGAGAUGUGGAGGAAUACCGAUGGCGAAGGCAGCCCCCUGGGCCAAAUACUGACGCUCAUGCACGAAAGCGUGGGGAGCAAACAGGAUUAGAUACCCUGGUAGUCCACGCCCUAAACGAUGUCAACUAGUUGUUGGGGAUUCAUUUCCUUAGUAACGUAGCUAACGCGUGAAGUUGACCGCCUGGGGAGUACGUCGCAAGAUUAAAACUUAAAGGAAUUGACGGGGU